AAAGAUCCGGUGGCACUCACCGACCUAAUAGAAUCUGUUUUACUUACCCACCAGCCUACUUGGGAUGACUGCCAACAGCUCUUACAGGCCCUCUUAACCUCAGAAGAAAAACAAAGAGUGUUCCUAGAGGCCAGAAAGCAUGUUCUGGGAGAUGAUGGGCGUCCCACCCAGCUGCCUGAGGAAAUUGAUGCUGCAUUCCCACUUAAGAGACCAAACUGGGAUUUUAAUACAGCUGAAGGUAAGGGACACCUAUGCCUUUAUCGCCAGUUGCUCCUAGCGGGUCUCCGAGGGGCUAUACGACGCCCUACUAAUUUGGCUCAGGUAAAACAGGUAUUACAGGAAGCAGGUAUUACUCCCUCCGCCUUUCUAGAGAGACUUAAGGAGGCCUACCGUAUGUACACUCCCUAUGACCCAGAUGACCCAGGACAAAUGACGAGUGUCUCUAUGUCCUUCAUCUGGCAGGCUGCUCCAGAUAUCAGGACUAAGUUACAGAG
rnacentral:lncRNA from 1 species